rnacentral:rRNA from 1 species
AGCGAACGCUGGCGGCAGGCUUAACACAUGCAAGUCGAGCGGGCACUUCGGUGUCAGCGGCAGACGGGUGAGUAACACGUGGGAACGUACCCUUCGGUUCGGAAUAACGCUGGGAAACUAGCGCUAAUACCGGAUACGCCCUUUUGGGGAAAGGUUUACUGCCGAAGGAUCGGCCCGCGUCUGAUUCGCUAGUUGGUGGGGUAAUGGCCUACCAAGGCGACGAUCAGUAGCUGGUCUGAGAGGAUGAUCAGCCACGCUGGGACUGAGACACGGCCCAGACCCGGACGGGAGGCAGCAGUGGGGAAUAUUGGACAAUGGGGGCAAGCCUGAUCCAGCCAUGCCGCGUGAGUGAGGAAGGCCUUAGGGUUGUAAAGCUCUUUUGGCCGGGACGAUAAUGACGGUACCGGAAGAAUAAGCCCCGGCUAACUUCGUG